rnacentral:rRNA from 1 species
CCUACGGGAGGCAGCAGUGAGGAAUAUUGGUCAAUGGACGAGAGUCUGACCCAGCCAAGUAGCGUGAAGGAUGACUGCCCUAUGGGUUGUAAACUUCUUUUAUAAAGGAAUAAAACGAGGCACGUGUGCCUUUUUGCAUGUACUUUAUGAAUACGGAUCGGCUAACUCCGUGCCAGCAGCCGCGGUAAUCCGGAGGAUCCGAGCGUUAUCCGGAUUUAUUGGGUUUAAAGGGAGCGUAGAUGGGUUGUUAAGUCAGUUGUGAAAGUUUGCGGCUCAACCGUAAAAUUGCAAUUGAUACUGGCAGUCUUGAGUACAGUUGAGGUAGGCGGAAUUCGUGGUGUAGCGGUGAAAUGCUUAGAUAUCACGAAGAACCCCGAUUGCGAAGGCAGCUUACUAAACUGUGACUGACAUUGAUGCUCGAAAGUGUGGGUAUCAAACAGGAUUAGAUACCCGAGUAGUC